AGCAAGCCCACAAGCUUUUGACUAGUAUCCAUGAGAACUUCGGCGAGAUCUCGAACAAAAUCCUCUCAACCAAUAGACUAAGAAGAGAAACCGCAGAAUACGAGAAGAAGAUAGCGGCCUCGGCAACCCGAAGCUUAAAUUUUGACAAACUACAAGCUGAUCUGGAUGCUAUCAGGAGGGAAAAUAGUUACCUAGAGCAACAUCUAUGCCAUAACAAGGCCA
rnacentral:misc_RNA from 1 species